UCGUGCUGCCGGCUGUCAGCUAGCUUUGCGCCACCGCCCGAUGGCGCGAGGAGGCGCGCGGGACCAGCCGUGGGGGGCCGGCCGCGAGUGAGCCCCUCUGCCUGUCGUCCGAGAGCAUGUCACCUCCAGCGUCCGCGUCAGCCUUCGCCUGCAGCACCCGCGUCCCCGCCUCCUGCAGCCGCAGUCGCAGCCGCUGCCUUGGGCAUUGGCCUCCUGACCCCCUCCCCUGCUCCCCCCGACCCUAGCGCCAGGGGACCAUGGCUGGCCAGGGCGACUGCUGCGUCAAGGUGGCCGUCAGGAUCCGGCCUCAGCUGUCAAAGGAGAAGAUUGAGGGCUGUCACAUUUGUACCUCUGUCACCCCAGGGGAGCCCCAGGUCCUGCUGGGGAAGGACAAGGCCUUCACCUAUGACUUUGUCUUUGACUUGGACACAUGGCAGGACCAGAUCUAUACAACCUGUGUGAGCAAGCUCAUUGAGGGCUGCUUCGAGGGCUACAAUGCCACAGUGCUGGCCUACGGGCAGACGGGGGCUGGGAAAACAUACACCAUGGGCACUGGCUUCGACAUGGCAACAUCGGAGGAAGAGCAGGGUAUCAUUCCAAGAGCCAUCGCACACCUCUUCGGGGGCAUCGCUGAGCGCAAGCGGCGGGCACAGGAGCAGGGCAUAGCUGGGCCUGAGUUCAAAGUCAGCGCUCAGUUCUUGGAGCUCUACAAUGAGGAGAUCCUUGACCUGUUCGAUAGCACUCGUGACACUGACGCCCGCCACCGCAGGUCCAACAUCAAGAUCCAUGAGGAUGCCAAUGGCGGCAUCUACACCACAGGCGUCACUUCUCGCCUCAUCAACUCCCAGGAGGAGCUGAUCCAGUGCCUGAAGCAAGGCGCCCUGUCACGCACCACGGCCAGCACCCAGAUGAAUGUACAGAGCUCCCGAUCCCACGCCAUCUUCACCAUCCACCUGUGCCAGAUGCGCGUGUGUGCCCAGCCCGACCUGGUGAAUGAGGCAGUGACCAGGCUUGCAGACGGCGCAGCUCCUACAAGCGAGUAUGAGACUCUCACGGCUAAGUUUCACUUUGUGGACCUGGCCGGCUCAGAACGCUUGAAGCGGACAGGGGCCACCGGCGAGCGGGCCAAAGAGGGCAUCUCCAUCAACUGUGGCCUGCUGGCCUUGGGCAAUGUCAUCAGCGCCCUGGGAGACCAAAGCAAGAAGGUGGUCCACGUGCCCUACAGGGACUCCAAGCUCACUCGGCUUCUCCAGGACUCACUGGGGGGCAACAGCCAGACCAUCAUGAUCGCCUGUGUGAGCCCCUCAGAUCGGGACUUCAUGGAGACGCUCAACACACUUAAAUAUGCCAAUCGGGCUCGCAACAUCAAGAACAAGGUAGUGGUGAACCAGGACAAGACCAGCCAGCAGAUCAGUGCACUGCGGGCCGAGAUCGCGCGCCUGCAAAUGGAGCUGAUGGAGUAUAAGGCGGGCAAGCGGGUGAUCGGGGAGGAUGGUGCUGAGGGCUAUAGCGACCUGUACCGGGAGAACGCCAUGCUGCAGAAGGAGAACGGGGCACUGCGGCUGCGGGUGAAGGCCAUGCAGGAGGCCAUCGAUGCCAUCAACAACCGCGUCACCCAUCUCAUGAGCCAGGAGGCCAACCUGCUUCUGGCCAAGGCUGGUGAUGGCAAUGAGGCUAUUGGCGCUCUGAUCCAGAACUACAUCAGGGAGAUUGAGGAGCUCCGCACAAAGCUCCUGGAGAGCGAAGCCAUGAAUGAGUCCCUCCGGCGCAGCCUCUCCCGAGCCUCGGCUCGGAGCCCCUACUCCCUGGGAGCGUCUCCAGCCGGCCCAGCCUUUGGGGGCAGCCCGGUCAGCUCCAUGGAGGAUGCUUCUGAGGUGAUCCGCAGGGCCAGGCAGGACCUGGAGCGGCUAAAGAAGAAGGAGGUCCGGCAGCGGAGGAAGAGCAGCCCAGAGAAGGAAGCCUUCAAAAAGCGGGCAAAACUCCAACAGGAGAACAGUGAGGAGACUGAUGAGAAUGAGGCUGAGGAGGCCAAGCCCAGCCCUCGUAUCCCUGGUGCCCAGGAGGAGGAGGAGCGAGACGAGAGUGGCUGCGAGGAGGAGGAAGGGCGUGAGGACGAAGACGAGGACUCAGGCAGCGAGGAAAGCCUGGUGGACUCCGACUCUGACCCAGAGGAGAAGGAGGUGAACUUCCAGGCAGACCUGGCAGACCUGACCUGUGAGAUUGAGAUCAAGCAGAAGCUGAUUGAUGAGCUAGAGAACAGCCAGCGGCGGCUGCAGACACUCAAACACCAGUAUGAGGAGAAGCUGAUCCUGCUACAGAACAAGAUCCGUGAUACACAGCUGGAGCGCGACCGUGUGCUGCAGAACCUCAGCACCAUGGAGUGCUACACGGAGGAGAAGGCCAACAAGAUCAAGGCAGAUUAUGAGAAGAGGCUGCGGGAGAUGAACCGGGAUCUGCAGAAGCUGCAGGCUGCGCAGAAGGAGCAUGCCCGGCUCCUCAAGAACCAGUCGCGCUAUGAGAGGGAGCUGAAGAAGCUGCAGGCAGAGGUGGCUGAGAUGAAGAAGGCCAAGGUGGCCCUGAUGAAGCAGAUGCGAGAGGAGCAGCAGCGGCGGCGGCUGGUGGAGACCAAGAGGAACCGAGAGAUUGCUCAGCUCAAGAAGGAGCAGCGGCGACAAGAGUUUCAGAUCCGGGCCCUGGAGUCCCAGAAACGGCAGCAGGAAAUUGUCCUGAGGAGGAAAACCCAGGAGGUUUCUGCACUGCGGCGCCUGGCCAAGCCCAUGUCUGAGCGGGUGGCAGGGCGUUCAGGACUGAAGCCACCUCUGCAGGAUUCAGGGGCUGAGGUGUCGGCCAGCACCACCUCUUCUGAGGCUGAGUCGGGGGCCCGCUCUGUCUCCAGCAUUGUGCGCCAGUGGAACCGCAAAAUCAACUACUUCCUGGGGGACCAUCCAGCCAGCACAGUCAAUGGCACCCGUCCAGCCAGAAAGAAGUUCCAGAAGAAAGGGGCCAGCCAGAGCUUCAGCAAGGCGGCAAGGCUCAAGUGGCAGUCCCUGGAGAGGAGGAUCAUUGACAUCGUCAUGCAGAGGAUGACCAUCGUCAACCUGGAGGCCGACAUGGAACGGCUCAUCAAGAAAAGGGAGGAGCUGUUCCUCCUGCAGGAGGCGCUGCGGAAGAAGCGUGAGCGGCUGCAGGCUGAGAGCCCAGAGGAGGAGAAGGGGCUGCAGGAGCUGGCUGAGGAGAUGGAGGUGCUGGCGGCCAAUAUCGACUACAUCAAUGAUAGCAUCACUGACUGCCAGGCCACCAUUGUGCAGCUGGAGGAGACCAAGGAGGAGCUGGACUCCACAGACACGUCAGUGGUCAUCAGCUCCUGCUCUCUGGCUGAAGCCCGCCUCCUGCUGGACAACUUCCUCAAGGCGUCCAUCGACAAGGGGCUGCAGGUAGCCCAGAAGGAGGCCCAGAUCCGGCUACUGGAGGGGCGACUGAGGCAGACGGACAUGGCGGGGUCCUCCCAGAACCACCUGCUCCUAGAUGCCCUGAGGGAGAAGGCCGAGGCGCACCCUGAGCUGCAGGCACUCAUCUACAAUGUGCAGCAGGAGAACGGCUACGCCAGCACUGACGAGGAGGUCUCAGAGUUCUCUGAGGGCAGCUUCUCCCAGUCAUUUACCAUGAAAGGCUCCACCAGCCAUGAUGACUUCAAGUUCAAGGGGGAGCCCAAGCUGUCUGCCCAAAUGAAGGCUGUGUCGGCUGAGUGCCUGGGACCCCCACUGGACAUCUCCACCAAGAACAUCACCAAGUCCCUGGCCUCCCUUGUUGAGAUCAAAGAGGAUGGAGUAAGCUUCUCCAUCCGAGAUCCCUACUACCGGGACAAGGUCUCCCGCACUGUCAGCCUGCCCACCCGGGGCAGCACUUUCCCCCGGCAGUCUCGAGGCUCAGAGACAUCCCCUCUGACCCGGAGGAAGUCGUAUGAUCGAGGGCAGCCCAUCAGGUCCACAGACGUGGGAUUCACACCUCCCUCAUCCCCUCCCACUCGGCCUCGCAAUGACCGCAAUGUCUUCUCUCGCCUUACCAGUAAUCAGAGCCAGGGGUCAGCGCUGGACAAGUCUGAUGACAGCGACUCCUCUUUGUCGGAGGUCCUGAGGGGCAUCAUUACCCCGGUCGGAGGAGCAAAGGGUGCUCGAACAGCCCCGCUGCAGUGCGUCUCCAUGGCCGAGGGCCACACCAAGCCCAUCCUCUGCCUGGAUGCCACAGACGAGUUGCUUUUCACAGGGUCCAAAGACCGCAGCUGCAAGAUGUGGAACUUGGUCACUGGGCAGGAGAUCGCAGCUCUCAAAGGCCACCCCAACAACGUGGUCUCCAUCAAGUACUGCAGCCACUCAGGGCUUGUGUUCUCUGUGUCCACCUCCUACAUCAAGGUGUGGGACAUUCGGGACUCAGCCAAGUGCAUUCGGACACUCACGUCCUCGGGUCAGGUGAUCUCAGGCGAUGCCUGUGCUGCCACCUCUACACGUGCCAUCACCAGUGCCCAGGGGGAGCACCAGAUCAACCAGAUGGCUCUCAGCCCUUCGGGCACCAUGUUGUAUGUUGCCGCAGGCAAUGCCGUGCGCAUCUGGGAGCUCAGCAGGUUCCAGCCCAUUGGCAAGCUCACUGGUCACAUUGGCCCCGUGAUGUGCCUGACGGUCACCCAGACUGCCAACCAGCAUGAUCUUGUGGUGACUGGCUCCAAGGACCACUAUGUUAAGAUGUUCCAGCUGGGCGAGUGUGUGACAGGCACCAUUGGCCCGACCCACAACUUUGAGCCCCCGCACUAUGAUGGCAUCGAGUGCCUGGCCAUCCAGGGAGACAUCCUGUUCAGUGGCUCCAGGGACAACGGCAUCAAAAAGUGGGACCUGGAGCAGCAGGAGCUCAUCCAGCAAAUCCCCAAUGCACACAAGGACUGGGUGUGUGCCCUGGCCUUUGUCCCAGGCCGCCCCAUGUUGUUGAGCGCCUGCCGCGCGGGUGUCAUCAAGGUCUGGAAUGUGGACAACUUCACACCCAUUGGAGAGAUCAAGGGCCACGACAGCCCCAUCAACGCCAUUUGCACCAACUCCAAGCACAUCUUCACAGCCUCCAGUGACUGCCGGGUAAAGUUGUGGAAUUACGUCCCUGGACUCACCCCCUGCCUUCCUCGCCGGGUCCUGGCCAUAAAGGGCCGCGCCACCACCCUGCCCUGACCCUCCCCGUCUUUCCCGUCUCCUCUCUCGCUCUUUCCCUCUUUCCUUUUCCCUGUCUUUCCCCACUUCGAUCUGAGCUGCUUCCUGACGCGACCUGACGGUGAAGUUUUGGAGCGUGCGUCGGUUACCGGAGGCCCACCCUCGGAGUUAGGUCAGAGGGGCGCCUGGACCCUCCGCCCCAGCAGCCUGCACAGCGUGGAACGGAAGCUGUGGCCAACCAGAUGGGAGCUGCGCAGGGGGCAGAGGGUGUGGCCCCUCUCCUGCUCCGCCUCCUCUCCCUUGGACUUCCCACAGUAUAGGCUCCCUGUCCCUCCCCUGCCUCGGGAGCCUCUCGGUGAGAGAGAGGUUGGGGAGGAGUUAAGCUGUGAAGCCAAAGGCAUUAUCCCCCCUCUCUCUCCCCCAGCCACUCCCUGGCCUCCCCUCAGCCGGCCAGGCCAUGGUGUUUCCUGCUGAGCGGGCCCUGCCCUGUCUUCCCCACUGUUGUCCCAGGGUGGAGCCCUGUAGGAAGGUAAAGUAGCCCCAGCUCCAUGGUGCCCUCUGAUGAGCUGGCCUCCCUGUGUCUCACAGCCCAACUUCUGGAGCCACUGUACCUGCCUCUGACGCAACAAGAUAGUCCUCAGGUAACCGUGGAGACCAGGUAUAGGCAGCUGGGCUUGCAGCUGACCCCGAACCCUGUGUCCAGCUGAUUCCAGUAGGCCCCAGCCUUCCCUUGGCAGCCCUUCCCAAUAGGGCCCUGGAGGAGCUACUGGAAAUACCCCUUUGGAGAGAUGGUCAGGAAUUCAGUUAUUUAUUGUUUAUUUUUUUCCUGUUGCCUCCUGGAAACUGACUUGAAGUUUCUUCCCAUACCUUCUGUCCCUCAGCUCUUAGGGGGUCUGCUCCCAUGGCGCUCGGGGGCCGCCACCUCUGUUGGCUUUGCUCUGUAGAGGAGGGAAAUACCUGCUUCCACACUUCGCAGCUCCAGCCUAGCCCCGACUGUGCCCCUGGGGACCCUUCUAGUGCACCCCUGGCAACUAGGCUGCCUGAUGCUUCAGUGCCUUCCUCGCCCAGGCCUGGCCCGCUGCUGGGCAGCCUUACACCAGCCAUGCCCUUGGUGCCACCUGUGUCUGCUCACAGGUCUCAUGCCCUCUGCCCCUGGAAAGGGGGCGCGCUCCUCACAGCCCAGGACCAGGGAGCCCCACCCUGCAGAGUCUUAUGUGGUCAUGUAGGCAGCAGCUUAGUAGACUAUCUGGUAGGAAGCAGCUUGGGUCGCCAUGUUUUCAUCAUCAUUUGGGACAGGGAGUCUCUUCAGCUUUUUUCCUGUAGUUAUUCAGGAGAUACAUUUUCAAGCCUUAAACCCAGCAUAGUGCAUGGCCCUUCCUUUUAGGAGAUUCAUGGUGAGAAGGCAGUUGGUAGUUCUUGGAGCCUCCUUUUCCCCUGGGGCUGUGGCCUCACAACUCGAAGGCUGGGGCUAAAUCAGUGUUCCAGUGCCCCCUGUUGGAACAACUCUGGAUUUACAGGGAUGGGUCUUGGGUGGGGUCAGCUCCAUCCUUCAUCCCAGGCUUUCCCCCAAGCGUGUCCACGCUGUUUUUCCACACUGGUCUUGUGCUUCUCGGCCUCAGUCUAGGAGCCUGGAGUCCCCAUUCUUUCUAGAGGACACGUUGACUUUCGAACUUGCCUGCAGUGGCGUUGCCUCUGCACUCAGCUCGUUUUUGUGCGUCCAAGGCCAUUGGAGCCUCCCCCGGUGUGGGAGGGUCGGGGCCCCAGUGAAGGCUGUGUGGGGCUGUUCCCUCCUCGGCACCACCCCAGAGGCUGAAGAGGUCGUCCUGCUUGUGUGCGGCCCCUGCCAGAUGUGACGUUAGGUCUGGUGAGCCAAUGUCGGGAUGACCUGACUCGAAUGCUGGUCUUCUGGAACCGGAAUGGUCUGUCUGCUCUGACUGCAAAUCCUUCUUCCCCUGGCUGCCCCAGGGUUGCUGGGCAACUCCCUUCGAACUCAGAAGUGACCACCAGUCUCCUUUCCUGCCCCAUCCAGCCUUCCCCACCUGAACGGAAAGCUUUGACAUUGCACCCUGUAAGAAUGACCCUGUCUGCAUGACUGUUUACAAACUACGGAAACACACAAGACUUGUGUCCCCUGCCCUUCCCUGUGGGCUGGGGGUACCCCAACCUGAGGUGACUGUACUGUAGCUUCAAGGCCUGUUCUUGCACAAGAUGUGGUCUUAUGGCCUCCAGAGGUGCUCCUUGUUGCCCGCUGUCCGCCGUCUCUGAUGGGUCACUACCUCACCGCAGGGCUGGCCCCCCUGUCCCGGCAAGUAUCAUUGACUCUAAACUUGAAGUCCUUCUGGAUCCCUGAGCCUGUCAUCCCUGAGCUGCUCUGAGCUGUGCUGCACAAGCCCUGGGGUCUCUGCCCACACCUUCGGGAACAUCCAAGGUACACAGAUGGGGCAGGCCCCCAGCUCCACCUCUCGCACAAGCAUCCUUUGUUGGAAGCACAAACCAGUUGUGAUCUGAGCACAGUGGCAGGGCAGCUCUCAGCAGGCGAUGUGGCCAAACCGGGAGGCAGGAGGCUCCUUGAAGGUUGGCCAGGAACCCCAGUUAGACAGUGAUGCCAUAUAUUGGGGAAGGCAGCCGCCCUUGCUGAGAACAAGGCUGGGCCUAAUUCUGGGGCUUUUUAUGUUAUGUUGUGUCCCCAUCCUGAGACUUGAGACCCAGGUCAUGUCUGUAUGCCAUGGGCCCCGGGAGCAGAGCGCACCCUAGCCCAAACUCCCCCGCCUGAAUACAGGCUGUGCUAGCCCCACUGAGCCUGAAGAGUGUGGACUCAAGACUGUCUCCUGAGCCAGGUCCCUGUUUUUGAAGCUGACUGGCUUCCACGGCCCUUCGGCUUCUCAGCACAGCCCUACACCAAGGCCUCACUCUCAGUAUUAGCCAGUUCAGUGUUUGCUUUCAAUCCAGCCACUUGAUUCCUCGAGGGCAGCCAGAAUCCCCUGAGGCCACACCUGAGCCACCUUUGGAGAUUGCUGCGGAGGGAGGGGAGGGGAAGAGGCCAAGGCCACACAGCCAAGCCUUGCAGUAGUCAGGGUGCUGCCACUAAGCGCUUGGGAAAGAACAGCCUUGGAUAUGGGAAUGGCCUCCUGCCGGCCCAGCUGAGGCCUUGGAAACUCUCCUUCCCCUCCCUUGUCUAGCCCUGAUGCCUGCCAGGGGCUGUGUGGCUUGGCCACAGGGUAGCUUAAAGCACAAAACCACUUCGAUGAAGAUACUGAGUCGCCAGGACUUUUGCACACUGCCUAACAUGGUGGAGACAGGCAGGCGGCUGCUGUGAAGUCAAGGGACAUAAUGUCCCUUUGCCCAGUCUUCUCCCAUCUCUUGGGGGCCACCCCCACUGGAAUCUGGGCUGGGCACAGGCACACCCCCUGGUUGUUCAGACCCUGCCCGGGCCUGGUGUGUUUGUGGGCAGGGCCUGCCCAGCAGGAGCAGUGAAUGGCUUUCCCCUGUGAAGCCCAAACUUGUGGCACUGUCCCUUUGGCAUCUCAAACAGGAAACUGCUCACUGCUUUCUUUGCUGGGCACAGCCUCCUCCUGGUCAAUGGCCAGUGUCCCCCACAGGCCUUCCUGGGCCUGGCCUUCCCUUCCUGGCUCCCAGCUCUUCACGCCCUGUGGAGCAGAAUCUGCAGGGAAAGUUGUUUCUCUUUGGCAUCUGUGUUCUGUCCCCCAUGCCCGCCCUCCUCUACCUCUAGCCCUCAGAUGACCCCCGAGCCCUACCACACCCCAGUUUAGUACUUCCAAUGUGUGUCCCAAGGCCCUCACCAAGAAGUAGGGAGUAGAAACUGCUUGAUGAAGAACAGAUGGUCAGAGAAGACCCUUGAAGGGAUGGGGCCCUGCCUGCCCACCAGCUCUUUUCUAGCCAUCGCCCCCUGCCCAGGCUCGUGUGCCCCUCUGAGAUGUGGCUAGCACAAGGUGUAUAUAAGUUUUGUACCUCUGCUGAUGACUGUACAUAGUGUAUGAAAGUUAUUUAAGCCUCUUGCUGUACAUUUCUGUUCCUAGAUUGAAUGUGUGUGUUCUAAGAAGUUGUCAUAAAUAAAAUCUGAAUGACUGUUGUCUGUGGAAGGACU